AAAUAAAUAUACAAUUUAUUUAUUAUAAAACCAUCAUUUUACAACACACAAUCCAACAAACCUCACAAACAAGUACUUAGAAUAAGAUGAGGAUGACCUUCAUAACCCUAUAGGACACAACAAAACAAGAGGGAAAAGAUAAACUAUUCAGACUAUGACCAAAAACGAAAUGGAAGUACGUAUGCAGUCGAUAACUCUGCGGAAGUCAAAUAACACAAACAAAUUAUUCUGAAAGAAAAAGAAAUCAUGCAGAUUCUAGGUUUGAUUUCUGAGGUGAUUUUGGUAAUUCAAUAUUUGCAACUGGUCUUGGUCCGGGGGGGGGGGGGGGGGGGGGGG
rnacentral:lncRNA from 1 species